AUUGAACGCUGGCGGCAGGCCUAACACAUGCAAGUCGAGCGAGCGGCGGACAGGUGAGUAAUGUAUGGGGACUGCCCGAUAUAGGGGGAUAACUACUGGAGACACUAGCUCAUAUCGCGUACUAUCGGAUAACCCAUAUGGGAUUAGCUAGUGGGUGAGGUAAUGGCUCACCUAGGCGACGAUCCCUAGCUGGUCUGAGAGGAUGAUCAGCCACACUGGGACUGAGACACGGCCCAGACUCCUACGGAGGCAGCAGUGGGGAAUAUUGCACAAUGGGCGCAAGCCUGAUGCAGCCAUGCCGCGUGUAUGAAGAAGGCCCUAGGGUUGUAAAGCACUUUCAGUCGGAAGGCGUUACCGACAGAAGAAGCACCGGCUAACUCCGUGCCAGCAGCCGCGGUAAUUC
rnacentral:rRNA from 1 species